UACAGAGGGUGCGAGCGUUAAUCGGAAUUACUGGGCGUAAAGCGCACGUAGGCGGCUUUUUAAGUCAGGGGUGAAAUCCUGGAGCUCAACUCCAGAACUGCCUUUGAUACUGAGAAGCUUGAGUCCGGGAGAGGUGAGUGGAACUGCGAGUGUAGAGGUGAAAUUCGUAGAUAUUCGCAAGAACACCAGUGGCGAAGGCGGCUCACUGGCCCGGUACUGACGCUGAGGUGCGAAAGCGUGGGGAGCAAACAGG
rnacentral:rRNA from 1 species